rnacentral:tRNA from 1 species
GUCCUCGUGGCCGAACGGAGAGGCGCCGGUCUUCUAAACCGGGUGAACGCAGGUUCGACUCCUGCCGAGGACU